CUCUUUCUCGAUUCAGUGGAUGGUGGUGCAUGGCCGUUCUUAGUUGGUGGAGYGAUCUGUCUGGUUAAUUCCGAUAACGAACGAGACUCUCCCCUGCUAACUAGUCGGUUGGAUCUUGAUCAGCGGGUUGCGUGCCGAGUAACUCUCGCUGUGCGGGUGGUGCGUCUCGGGCCUCACGGUUCGUUGCGUGCUCUCGUGUGGCGUUGGAUGCCUUGGAUCACACUGCACCCCAAGUCCGCCGCUUAUGCUAUAACUCUUCUUAGAGGGAUUCACGGCACUGAAGCCGUAAGAGACUGAGAGCAAUAACAGGUCUGUGAUGCCCUUAGAUGCUCUGGGCCGCACGCGCGCUACAAUGCCGGGCACAGCAGGUGUUUCUCCUGCUCCGACAGGAGCGGGUAACCCUCUGAAAGCCAGUGUUCUUGCAAGUGAUUCCUCCCUCGUGGAGUUUCACAGAGGCGUGCUUGGGCCUGGGACUUGCAAUUCUUUCCCACCAACGAGGAAUGCCUAGUAGCGGCGGGUCACUGAGCCCGCUGUGACUCAGUCCCUGCCCUUUGUACACACCGCCCGUCGCUACUACCGAUUGGGUGUACCAGUGAGAGCCUUGGACUGGCGUCCGUUGUUGCUCGCAAGAGUGACAAGCGGGUCCGACGGAAAGAGGUCCGAACUGGUGCACUUAGAGGAAGUAAAAGUCGUAACAAGGUUUCCGUAGGUGAACCUGCGGAAGGAUCAUUA
rnacentral:rRNA from 1 species